rnacentral:rRNA from 1 species
UGCAGUCGACGGUACAGGUAGAGCUUGCUUCUUUGCUGACGAGUGGCGGACGGGUGAGUUGUGUCUGGGACUCUGCCUGAUGGAGGGGGAUCUCUACUGGACACGGUAGCUUAUACCGCAUAGCGUCGCGAGACCAAAGAGGGGGACCUUCGGGUCUCGUGCCAUCAUAUGUGCCCAUAUGGGAUUAGCUAGUAGGUGGGAUAACGUCUCACCUAGGCGACUAUCCCUAUCUGGUCUGAGAGGAUGACCAGCCACACUGGAUCUGACACACGGUCCACACUCCUACGGGAGGCAGCAGUGGGAGUAUAUUGCACUGUGGGCGCAAGCGUGAUGCACCCAUGCCGCGUGUAUGAAGAGCGCCUUCGGGUGUGUAAAGUACUUUCAGCGGGAGAGG